UACAGAGGGUGCAAGCGUUGUUCGGAAUUAUUGGGCGUAAAGCGCGUGUAGGCGGCUUUGCAAGUCGGGUGUGAAAGCCCUCGGCUCAACCGAGGAAGUGCGCCCGAAACUGCAGAGCUUGAGUACCGGAGAGGAUGGCGGAAUUCCCAAGUAGAGGUGAAAUUCGUAGAUAUGGGGAGGAACACCGGUGGCGAAGGCGGCCAUCUGGACGGAUACUGACGCUGAGACGCGAAAGCGUGGGGAGCGAACAGG
rnacentral:rRNA from 1 species